UCCUCCAGAGUGUUUCUUUGUGCAAGUUC
rnacentral:piRNA from 1 species